UGAACUACCCACCGCCUAAAGGCAGUGGGCUUCCGUUAAAUGGUUCACCAGACUUAAGACAGAAGAAAUUCUGCCUACGAUAUUUAGGUCAUGACACCUUUGGUUGACGCACCAGACCAUUGCUCUGU
rnacentral:sRNA from 1 species